rnacentral:rRNA from 1 species
UUUUUAAAAUAGUACUCACCUUGUGUGCAAUGUUGUGUUGGAGACUUCUCUCGGGAGGUCUUCACACCUACACCAACCUUUUAUUUUAAACAACUUUGUCUGAAAACCUAUUAUGAAUACUUAAUUCAAAAUACAACUUUCAACAACGGAUCUCUUGGCUCUCGCAUCGAGGAAGAACGCAGCGAAAUGCGAUACGUAAUGUGAAUUGCAGAAUUCAGUGAAUCAUCGAAUCUUUGAACGCACAUUGCACUCUCUGGUAUUCCGGAGAGUAUGCUUGUUUGAGUAUCAGUAAACACCUCAAAUCUCUUUUUUAUUAAAGAGAAUUGGACUUGAGCAAUCCCAACUCUGUAAAAAGAGGCGGGUUGCUUGAAAUGCAGGUGCAGCUGGACAUUCUUCUGAGCUAAAAGCAUAUUUAUUUAGUCCCGUUAAACGGAUUAUUACUUUUGCUCUAGCUAAUAUAAAGGUCGAAUGGACUAUACGCUGACUGAUGCAGGAUUACCAAGUCUCUGUCAAAAGGAGACUUGUAAACUCGAUCUCAAAUCAAGUAAGACUACCCGCUGAACUUAAGCAUAUCAAUAAGCGGAGGAAAAGAAACUAACAAGGAUUCCCCUAGUAACGGCGAGUGAAGCGGGAUGAGCUCAAAUUUGAAAUCUGGCUGG